rnacentral:rRNA from 1 species
AUUGAACGCUGGCGGCAUGCUUUACACAUGCAAGUCGAACGGUAACAGGGUGCUUGCACCGCUGACGAGUGGCGAACGGGUGAGUAAUGCGUCGGAACGUGCCGAGUAGUGGGGGAUAACGCAGCGAAAGCUGUGCUAAUACCGCAUACGAACUGAGGUUGAAAGUGGGGGACCUUCGGGCCUCACGCUAUUCGAUCGGCCGACGUCUGAUUAGCUAGUUGGUGGGGUAAAGGCCUACCAAGGCGACGAUCAGUAGCGGGUCUGAGAGGAUGAUCCGCCACACUGGGACUGAGACACGGCCCAGACUCCUACGGGAGGCAGCAGUGGGGAAUUUUGGACAAUGGGGGAAACCCUGAUCCAGCCAUGCCGCGUGUCUGAAGAAGGCCUUCGGGUUGUAAAGGACUUUUGUCCGGGAGCAAAUACCCAGUGCUAAUAACGCUGGGGGCUGAGAGUACCGGAAGAAUAAGCACCGGCUAACUACGUGCCAGCCGCCGCAGUAAGAC